AGUCAGUAUAUUUCUACUGGCAGACAUUUUUUGUGUUAAUGCAAAAAAUACAAUCUAAGGAUAUAGAGAUAAAUAAAAAAAUUAUGGUGCAGUAAAUCUAAACACCAAUACGUGCUAGUGACUAAUUUCACUCACUAGAAGGAAUUGAUUGCAGGCAUAUAUAAAAUUGCAGUGGAAGGAGCUUGGUCUUCUUUACUCUUGUCCUUAAAAGGGAUUUAAGAGAAAGACACCCACAUAGUGUACCAGCAGGGCCGGUGCAAGGAUUUUUGCCGCCCUAGGCAAAAGUAAAGUUUGACGCCCCCCUCCUCCCCCCCGUGACAUCGCAAUGCCCCACCCAUAUGACCUGCCAUGUUAACUAACGC